CUCAAAGAUUAAGCCAUGCAAGUGGUUAUUUAACCCGACAGUUUAAAUAAGUGUUAUUAUAGAUCUACUAUAGUCUAUACCCACCAUCACAAACACAGUGAAAAAUACAUUUCACUUACGCAACUGCGGACAGCUGCUUAAUACAGUCACACCUGUCUUGACUUGGCUAUUUGUAUAUCUGCAUUUAAAACAUGCAGUAUACGCACAACACACACUUGCUCAUGAUAAUUGAGUAAAUACACGUGAUUUCUUCUACUGAGAGCUGUCGGUUACUAUGCUACAUAGUUCCGCGCUUAUCAAUACAUAAACAAUUUAACUUUAUGGAUAACUCAGGGAAAGUUUGGCUAAUACGUACGAGUCACUUAUACUUACAAUUAUCAAAUCUGUGUUACGCGUUCGUUUCAUCAUCACUUAUUACACCAUUUGAAACGCGCGCGCGCACACAGAUAUGAACAAAACAAUUACUCAGCACUCAAUGGUAAACUUAUGCGUCUGCGUAUUUCUGUCUUCGGACGAUGCGCGUUCGUAUGAUUCGUUUAACUGCAACAUGAGAGACAUUGAGCACGCAGUCUUUUGGUCCUUUGUGACUGAUUGACAUCUACGCUGAGCAGACUUUGAGAUUUCUUAAUUUCGAAGUAUGUAAUACAAGCAUCUACAGCAUCAAGUCACAGGGUUGGCAAGUGUAUUAUUGAACCUUCAAAGCAGUCACGCAUACGGAAGAGUAGUUUCUGAUCCCAUAGAAGGAGCACCGUACAAUGAGAGACCGCUCUUAGUUCUAAGGAACGCAGCAGGCGCGUAAAUUGCCCAAUGCUAGUACCCUACUACAUUUAUUGCAAACACGCAGACAAUACUAUUAUAACACUUAUAACUAAACUAAUUAUUUAAAACAAAUUUAACCUUGUUUACGCUGCGUAUCACUCAAUAGAUUUUAAUAUAUCUACUGAGGCAGUGACAAGCUGUAACGGUUGAGUAUAAUAAUGACGAGUGUCUGGCAUUGCCGCUGCCUUCGGGUUAGCUUGGCAAUAUUGCCGACGCUUUGUGUGCUCAAUUGGAAUGCGGUGAGUUUAAGCAACUCAGAACCUUUGGAUGGUAGUCUCUUUGAUUCUACUAUUUAAGUAUCUGAACUUUCAAGUGGAGGGCAAGUCUGGUGCCAGCAGCCGCGGUAAUACCAGCUCCACUGGCCUAUACAAUCAUUGUUGCGGUUAAGAGGCUCGUAGUUGGAUUGAACAAUUGAAUUCUUUAAAUUAAAUCUGCGCUCGCGUAGCAUUAUAAUUAAAAACAAACAAUUGAUAUGAAGCGUUUGCUAUUCAAUGCGUAUCGUAAAACACAUAUUAAUUGUUACGUACGCACUUAGCGCCUUCAUCAGUUUCGACUCAUUACUACAACAAUUAUACGUUACAAGCGUCCAGCGCGGGAUUAUCUAUUUCAAUACUGUGAACAAACCAGAGUGUAUCAAACAUGUCGUAUUUGAAUGCGCAUUGAAUGUCUUAUCAUGGGAGGUUGCCUUUCAAUUAAUAUAUGACCGUUUGCCUAAACUUACCCUCGCAAUACACACUACUGUGCAAUUAAUACCCAAGCUCGAAAGCUUUAGCGGAAAUUAUGUUAUUUAUGUCGAUGGGGAUAGUUGGAGUCAACAGUACUGCUGGGCGAGAGGGGAAAUUCAUUGACCCUAGCAGACUACCAAAAGCGAAAGGGUUGGCUAGGCUAUACUCUUUGUGAUUUUACCAAUUAAACACGCAGUCGCGCUGUCUGCAUAUUAACACACUAAAUUAUUAUAAAUGCAUGCAUUCACGCGCGCGCUUAAUAAUAUAAAACACUUUACAAUGAAGAACGAAGGUUGGGGGAUCAAAGAGGAUCAGAUACCCUCGUCGUCCCAUUAAUUACAUCAAACGAUGGGCUCUCAAUUGCAUUUAUAUUAAUAAUAGCAUAUGACCUCAACCUACUAAAUCUUAUUAAAUCUGGCUUGAGCUCGUAGUUCGCUACGCUCGCCUAAACUAUAUAUUGAUUUCUAUGUACGGUCUCAAUGAAGACAUAUGCAUUCUGUACUAAAAUUUUAGCGUGUCUCGCUUAAUAACUAUUUACUCAUUGUACUUUAAUUAGUAUUUAAUUGAUUUUAGUUUGCGACACUUGAUUUUCGGAGCUUUGCGCUCAAUUCUGGUGAGAUGUAAGCACCAUGUUAUGUGACCCGCAACGUAUACCUAUCGGGUAUUUCGCUUGUCGUUCGUCGCAUUAACACUACAUUUAUUUUGGUGUGAAGCACGCUUUAGGCACGCGCUUACUGCAGAAAUGUCUGAGACAUUCCCCUCCGGGGGUAGUAUGCACGCAAGUGUGAGACUUGAAGGAAUUGACGGAAGGGCACCACAAGAACGCGUGGAGCAUGUGGCUUAAUUUGACUCAACGCGGGAAAUCUUACCGGGUCCGGACACACUGAGGAUUGACAGGCAAUAUUGCACGUCUCUUUGCUUUGCUUCGAGACUGCAUGUUAAAUAUGCUAGUCCUUUCAUGAUUAUGUGAUAGGUGGUGCAUGGCCGUUCUUAGUUCGUGGAGUGAUCUGUCUGCUUAAUUGCGUUUCACUAAGGAACUAUAUUCUUAUGUAUGUUGUUAGCGCAUUGACCCCUCGUUUGUAUUACGUCAAUUCUCUCACGAGUAAUUGGUUCAAAUGUAGCGUGCGUCUUUGAUUUUACGUCUAGCUCAUACGAUUAGUUCCUGAAAGCAACGAACGUGACCGCAACCUCUUGUUGCCUUCAUUUCCAACUAUUAUUUAUUUAUUAGUUAUACGAAGGCUUUCUAAACUAGAGGGACCGCUGUUAUCUUCUUAAACCAGAGGAAGGUUGCGGCAAUAACAGGUCUGUGAUGCCCUUAGAUGUUCCGGGCUGCACACGUGCUACAAUGAUUAUUGCAGUGAGCAUCUCAUUUACUUAAUACAUCGCAAGCGCGAGUCCGUUUGUUCUUUGUUUCAGUUCAUGCUGUUCAAAGCUUCAAAUGAGUAUCUCUGCGCGCGAUAAAGCCUGCUUUGAAAGUUUAGUGGGUAAUCAAUUAGAAGUAAUGAUUUCCUAAAUAUAUCGCACUUAUAUGUAUGGCGUCUUUACCCAGCUAGCCUUUUGUGCUAGAUUUUGUGUGUAUUGACGAUUGAUUUCUGAUCAAUUGCCUAAUCUUACGGUUCCAUACGUGCAAUUGUCAAUUCAUGGUGGGGACAGACCAUUGUUAAUUGUUGGUCUCGGUCUUAACUAGGAAUGCCUUGUACGGGUCUUUGGUUCAACAGACCACCCGGAAUACGUCCCUGCCCUUUGUACACACCGCCCGUCGCUCUUACCGAUGGACUUCUCUGUGAGUUUGAGGGACUGGGUCAAUCUAAAACUUGUUUUUAUGAUCUAGACCUAUGGAAACUUAAACGAACAGUGUGGUCUAAAGGAAAGAGAAGUCGUAACAAGGCAUCGGUAGGUGAACCU
rnacentral:rRNA from 1 species